AUGAAUGCUGGCGGCGUGCCUAAGGCAUGCAAGUCGAACGAAUCAUUGCAACAGGUGAUGGUUAGUGGCAAACGGGUGCGUAACACAUUGGUAUCUGCCUCGUAGUCGGGCAUAACGUUCCGAAAGGGACGCUAAUUCCACGAUGGUCUCGCACGAGUAAAGUCGCAAGACGCUACGAGAGGAGCCUAUGGCCUAUCAGCUAGUUGGUGAGGUAACGGCUCACCAAGGCUAUGACGGGUAGGGGGUGUGAGAGCACGACCCCCCUCACUGGGACUGAGACACUGCCCGGACACCUACGGGUGGCUGCAGUCUGGAAUAUUCGGCAAUGGGCGAAAGCCUGACCGAGCGACGCGGCGUGCAGGAAUAAGGGCUUCGGUCCGUAAACUGCUUUUGUCAGGGACGAAUCAUGACGGUACCUGAAGAAUAAGAGGUUGCUAACUCUGU
rnacentral:rRNA from 1 species